UGCGAAUCAGAAGCAAGCAGCAUUAUCUCCUGAAAAUCCCUGUAUCAUGACCUGCUAGAAUUUCAGUCCGACAUCGAGGUAUCAGAACAGAGAUGUGAAAAAACCCACAUCCAAAAUGGAGUCUGCAGCCUGACACAGACUCCUUUCCAUUGUGAAAAAUAAUGGGAUUAACAGCCAACCUAUCAGGCCGAAUUUAAAUCAUAAGAGGCUUAUUCACCAGAAUGGAAAAGUCUGGCAAGCAAUUUGUGUCAGCCUCGUUCAGCAUGUCAGUAGAAGACCUGUGCCUCACCAGAACUAAACACUGACAAACAGGCCAGAUCUGGAACCCCAGAUUUUAAGCUAAGGGGAGUUCCCUGAAGAUUUGAGGCUUGUGUCUUGAGCACAGCCAUUGCUAAUGCAGAGGGAAUAGUGUCUGUGCAAUACAGGGGUUACUAUUUACAGCAUUGUAAUGCAGUACAUUCUGUAACGAUUAACUAGUAGGUAAGAAAGCCACUUUCUCAGCAGUAUUCAC